GACGAACGCUGGCGGCGUGCUUAACACAUGCAAGUCGAGCGGUAAGGCCCUUUCGGGGUACACGAGCGGCGAACGGGUGAGUAACACGUGGGCGACCUGCCCUCAGCUCUGGGAUAAGCCCGGGAAACUGGGUCUAAUACCGGAUAUGACCUCUCAUCGCAUGGUGGGUGGUGGAAAGUUUUUUCGGCUGAGGAUGGGCCCGCGGCCUAUCAGCUUGUUGGUGGGGUGAUGGCCUACCAAGGCGACGACGGGUAGCCGGCCUGAGAGGGCGACCGGCCACACUGGGACUGAGACACGGCCCAGACUCCUACGGGAGGCAGCAGUGGGGAAUAUUGCGCAAUGGGCGGAAGCCUGACGCAGCGACGCCGCGUGGGGGAUGACGGCCUUCGGGUUGUAAACCUCUUUCGACCUUGACGAAGGCCUUCGGGUUGACGGUAGGGGUAGAAGAAGCACCGGCCAACUACGUGC
rnacentral:rRNA from 1 species